rnacentral:lncRNA from 1 species
AGAUUUCUGCCUUGCUACAUGCUUGAAUACUUUAUCAUCAUUCAUCUCUCUCUCUCUCUCUCUCUCUCUCUAGCUAGCUAGUAUGUGUAUGCAUAGAUGUAUCAUAAAUGUUGCUUGGUGGGGACGGAUCCUUCAAAUUUGAUCGUGAAUAAGAUGUGGGUGCAAAGAAAUCAUUGAAUAUUCUGAAGUAGAUUUCCCGAACCAACAGAAGGAAGCGGAGUCCAGAAAGGACCUGGACCAGGAGGCGGCCGUGAAGCAGUUACAGGGUGAGGUAGACGCCCAACGCCAGCAUGCAGCAGGCCUAGAGGAGCAAGUCAACGCUCUCAAGAACCAGCUGCACCAAUACGAGUUGCAGGUCAAGGAAAAGGUAAGAGCUCUUCUUUCCCUCAAUCUGCUUCGAAUCUAUUUUCUUCUCUGUAACUUUGAAAAAAAAAAAAAGAACCACCUUCGUGGAGAGCCUGUUCCCUCUUUCGCUGAUCAUCUUUUGGUGAAGAGCGUCAACGUUUGUCCUUCUGAUCGGUUGCUUCGACGAUGACGACGC